ensembl:lncRNA
CCAUACUUUGUGUAAAAUAAAAUAAUAAGGUACUGAUAGUAAUGAAGGAGUUAAAUGAAAGAGCUCCCCUCAGAAAAAGGCUGAGUUACAACCCAGGUAAUUUCUGUACUUAAGAUUGGGGUUUUUUUUCAGCGUCUCUGCACAUUCAGGUUUGACCUUUUGUUUGUUUGUUCUCUUUGUCUUCUGUUGUUGUUUGGGUUUUUGCUGCUGUUUGUUCAUUUCGCUUUUACAGUCUAAUCUUUCGCAUAAUGGGACAGACACACAGCCUUCACUGGAAGACUCCCCCCAUCCUGUUGCAAUAUUCAUAAAGCUGUGCUUUUUAAACAUGCUGCAAGAUAGUCUUAGUAAGACAAAAGACAUCAUAAUUUAUUGUUCCAAGAUUAUUGAUUCAAUAAACUAACAACAAUUUCCGUGGAGAUUAAGAGCCCUGGGACUGUAAAAGUUUAUUUAUCUGAGCUUUAACUAGCUUUGAUUCGAGUAUUCAAAUUGUCCCAGUACUAUAUAAUUGCUCUCUAUAGGUAAAAUGCCCUCUGCUGUGCAGGAGACACUAAAAUAAACAUUCAGCCAGAAGUGACAAUGGCUCCUUUAAAAGGUUGAAAGGAAAUGAGACACAUCCCAGAUCAAAUCCUGCCCAGAAUGAACAACUUGACUGCGUUAUCCUGGACACUUUAUCCCAAAACAAUCCACACUGGAGAAUGCAGUUGGUGGUGGUGGCCUCACGUGGCAUAGAAAUAGCUCAGCUCUCAGCAUAAGGGCUGAUUUUUGGAGGGUUAAUAGGUCAAAAAAAUCUAUUACUGAGAUUUACAAAAAGAAAUAUUUUUGUUGUCUUUAGUCUGCUUCCACUGCCUGCGUAGAGUGAAUUUUUUCCUUCUCAAUUUUCAUGGGAUCAAAGGCAGGUCAGUACUGAGCAUCUGGAGAUCUUGUCCAGUAUCACUGAAAGAUGAAAGCAUUUGGUAAAUAAAUUGUUAAGUGUCUGUUUUUACCGAAGUAUUAACAAGAGUACUGCCCCUAGCAUGAAUCUUACUGACACAAAAGGCUCCUUAGCUAU